rnacentral:snRNA from 1 species
AAAGACAAAAAAAAAAAAAAAAAAGUUUUUCCCAAGGUGCAGCUUAUGCAUCACACUCUAGAAACACUGACCCCUGCAAUUUCCCCACAUGUGGUAAAUUCAGCUGUAUAAUUUGUGGUAGUGGGAGACUGCAUUUGCUCUUUCUUC